rnacentral:rRNA from 1 species
UGCUAAUACCGUAUAACAAUCAAAACCGCAUGGUUUUGAUUUGAAAGGCGCUUUCGGGUGUCGCUGAUGGAUGGACCCGCGGUGCAUUAGCUAGUUGGUGAGGUAACGGCUCACCAAGGCCACGAUGCAUAGCCGACCUGAGAGGGUGAUCGGCCACAUUGGGACUGAGACACGGCCCAAACUCCUACGGGAGGCAGCAGUAGGGAAUCUUCGGCAAUGGACGAAAGUCUGACCGAGCAACGCCGCGUGAGUGAAGAAGGUUUUCGGAUCGUAAAACUCUGUUGUUAGAGAAGAACAAGGAUGAGAGUAACUGUUCAUCCCUUGACGGUAUCUAACCAGAAAGCCACGGCUAACUACGUGCCAGCAGCCGCGGUAAUACGUAGGUGGCAAGCGUUGUCCGGAUUUAUUGGGCGUAAAGCGAGCGCAGGCGGUUUCUUAAGUCUGAUGUGAAAGCCCCCGGCUCAACCGGGGAGGGUCAUUGGAAACUGGGAGACUUGAGUGCAGAAGAGGAGAGUGGAAUUCCAUGUGUAGCGGUGAAAUGCGUAGAUAUAUGGAGGAACACCAGUGGCGAAGGCGGCUCUCUGGUCUGUAACUGACGCUGAGGCUCGAAAGCGUGGGGAGCAAACAGGAUUAGAUACCCUGGUAGUCCACGCCGUAAACGAUGAGUGCUAAGUGUUGGAGGGUUUCCGCCCUUCAGUGCUGCAGCUAACGCAUUAAGCACUCCGCCUGGGGAGUACGACCGCAAGGUUGAAACUCAAAGGAAUUGACGGGGGCCCGCACAAGCGGUGGAGCAUGUGGUUUAAUUCGAAGCAACGCGAAGAACCUUACCAGGUCUUGACAUCCUUUGACCACUCUAGAGAUAGAGCUUCCCCUUCGGGGGCAAAGUGACAGGUGGUGCAUGGUUGUCGUCAGCUCGUGUCGUGAGAUGUUGGGUUAAGUCCCGCAACGAGCGCAACCCUUAUUGUUAGUUGCCAUCAUUCAGUUGGGCACUCUAGCAAGACUGCCGGUGACAAACCGGAGGAAGGUGGGGAUGACGUCAAAUCAUCAUGCCCCUUAUGACCUGGGCUACACACGUGCUACAAUGGGAAGUACAACGAGUCGCGAAGUCGCGAGGCUAAGCUAAUCUCUUAAAGCUUCUCUCAGUUCGGAUUGCAGGCUGCAACUCGCCUGCAUGAAGCCGGAAUCGCUAGUAAUCGCGGAUCAGCA